AAAGAAGGAAAGGAAAAGGGAAUAGGGUGAAGAAGAAGGGAGAUUAGCAAGAGAUUUUAAUUCUGACUUAGAGGCUACCCAAAUCAGUACGACAGAAUUUAGUGCUCUGCUUGUGCUUUAUUUCAUGUCAAGUAUGACAGAAUCGAAUGCUCUGCCCAUGUGAGAUUUUAGUAUACCGGGACAUCCUAUAGAUCGUGCGGGAUAGUGUUUUGUUGGGUUGUGCCACGGUGUAGCAUCUUUCGUGGAUGUUUUCAUUUGCACGCAUCUAUAUAGAUUUUUUGUUGUUUUUUUUAUAAACUUAUGAAAUGUUGAAAGGCCGGAGGCCUAAUUACCAUAUUCUCAUAAUCUUUUGAAAUGAGUAAAGAUGUAAAUUAUUUUGUUAUGUA